rnacentral:tRNA from 1 species
GGGCGUGUAGCUCAGUUGGUAGAGCGUUCGCUUAGCAUACUCUAUGCGAAAGGUCCUGGGUUCGAUUCCCAGCCCGUCCA